rnacentral:rRNA from 1 species
UCGAGGAUCUUUCGCAAUGGGCGAAAGCCUGACGAAGCGACGCUGUGUGAGCGAUGAAGGCCUUCGGGUUGUAAAGCUCUUUCGCAUAAGAACAAGAAAAGCUGGUGAAUAACCGGCCGAUUUGAGUGUACUAUGUAAAGAAGCACCGGCUAACUCCGUGCCAGCAGCUGCGGUAAUACGGAGGGUGCAAGCAUUAAUCGGAUUUAUUGGGCGUAAAGGGCGCGUAGGCGGUUAUUUAAGUCAGGUGUGAAAUUCCAAAGCUCAACUUUGGAGCUGCAUUUGAAACUGGAUGACUAGAGGAAUGGCGGAGAAAAUGGAAUUCCACGUGUAGCGGUGAAAUGCGUAGAUAUGUGGAAGAACACCUGUGGCGAAAGCGGUUUUCUAGCUUAUUCCUGACGCU